rnacentral:rRNA from 1 species
GAUGAACGCUGGCGGCGUGCUUAACACAUGCAAGUCGAGCGAAGCRCUWUGGAAGAUUCCUUCGGGAUGAUUCCUUUGUGACUUAGCGGCGGACGGGUGAGUAACGCGUGGGCAACCUGCCUUGUACAGGGGGAUAACAGUUAGAAAUGACUGCUAAUACCGCAUAAGCGCACAGCAUGGCAUCAUGCAGUGUGAAAAACUCCGGUGGUACAAGAUGGGCCCGCGUUGGAUUAGCUUGUUGGUGGGGUAACGGCCCACCAAGGCGACGAUCCAUAGCCGGACUGAGAGGUCGAACGGCCACAUUGGGACUGAGACACGGCCCAGACACCUACGGGAGGCAGCAGUGGGGAAUAUUGCACAAUGGAGGAAACUCUGAUGCAGCGACGCCGCGUGAGUGAUGAAGUAUUUCGGUAUGUAAAGCUUCUAUCAGCAG